AUUGAACGCUGGCGGCAGGCCUAACACAUGCAAGUCGAACGAGUGGCGGACGGGUGAGUAAUGUCUGGGAAACUGCCCGAUGGAGGGGGGUAACUACUGGAAACGGUAGCUAAUACCGCAUACCCUCGGAUGUGCCCAGAGGGGCUUAGCUAGUGGGUGGGGUAACGGCUCACCAGGGCGACGAUCCCUAGCUGGUCUGAGAGGAUGACCAGCCACCCUGGAACGGAUAAACGGUCCAGACUCCUACGGGAGGAAGCAGUGGGGAAUAUUGCACAAUGGGCGCAAGCCUGAUGCAGCCAUGCCGCGUGUAUGAAGAAGGCCUUCGGGUUGUAAAGUACUUUCAGCGGGGAGGCGUUACCCGCAUAAGAAGCACCGGCUAACUCCGUGCCAGCAGCCGCGGUAAUUC
rnacentral:rRNA from 1 species